GCAGGCAUUAAUGCGCAAUACGUAAGGAAGUUAGACCAUUUAUCGUAAACUACCACAGCAAACUUACCACCUAAAAGAUUCACAUCACUGAUUUGGCUUGGAUUCUAACUAAAAAGUGUCACUCUUUGAAGGCAAAGCUUCCCUUGGCUGUUCAUAAACUGUUACGUUCCAAAACAGGGAAUGCAAACAUAGUUUGAUGACACAAACCAUCGUGGUUGGUUUUUUAAGAUAACGAGAAAUGAAUUUAUGUUUCCCCUGAAGAUAUCUGUUCUCUGUAUCAUCUACAACCUAUUAAUCGCAAAUGCGUAGUCGAUUCCUCUACUCUUGCACCUAUCUGGGACCAAGACUUUGUUUAGCCAGUGUUGUAUGUAAGUAAAUAUCAACCUGUACACUUCAUGCACUUUUUGAGAAAAGAGAUUAUAUUAGUUAACUACUAUUCAAGCCUGAGAAAUGCUUGUUUCAAAAGAAGUGUACAUGGAAGAUGAAGCUUAUGAUCUAAAGAUAUACAGACUAAUCAAGAACACGACUGCAUGAGACAUAUUCAAACUAAACCGAUUUUAAAGUUUCCAACUGUUUUUUCAGGACUUUAAAAGAGCUGCUUCGCAAAGAUGAUUAAGUGACAUUUUAUUCAGGACAAUGUUAUUCGACAUUGUUUCAAACAAUUGCACUGAACAGUGCGUAAAUAUUCAAGACUAUUUGUAAUGGAGUAAAAUCUACCAUUUCUUUUCCGAACAGUGACGUACAUAAACCGAAGUUAGCAUUUGAAAGAAAAAUGAUGCAAAUAUAAGUCAAAAAUAAGGUAAAAUUAAAGGCAAAAGGCCAUGAAAUGUUGGGGAAAGAGGAGACAUCAAAAGAAAGAGGCGUUGCGGAUCUUAAAUGCAGACGCGUCGACAAAGAAGUUUACUCAUCAUUAAUAAAAAUACUGAAGACAGCAAAAAGGUAACAUGUUUUGCAUUAUAAAUCGUCCCAGGAUUGGUUCGCUUUUUUUAACGCUAACAUUUGCUGAAGCUAA